AUUGCACGCUGGCGGCAGGCCUAACACAUGCAAGUCGAGCGAGCGGCGGACGGGUGAGUAAUGUAUGGGGACUGCCCGAUAGAGGGGGAUAACUACUGGAAACGGUGGCUAAUACCGCAUACUAUCGGAUAACCCAUAUGGGAUUAGCUAGUAGGUGGGGUAACGGCUCACCUAGGCGACGAUUUAUAGCUGGUGUGAGAGGAUGAUCGGCCACACUGGUACGGAGACACGGCCCAUACUCCUACGGAGGCAGCAGUGGGGAAUAUUACACAAUGGGCGCAAGCCUGAUGCAGCCCUGCCGCGUGAAUGAAGACGGCCUUAGGGUUGUAAAGUACUUUCAGCGGGGAGGCGUUACCCGCAGAAGAAGCACCGGCUAACUCCGUGCCAGCAGCCGCGGUAAUUC
rnacentral:rRNA from 1 species